CCGGAGCCUUGCCACUUCCGUUUGUUUCCCUGUUGUCGUACGCUUCACCCUGGAUCAUGUUCAAGAAGUUUGAUGAAAAGGAAAGUGUGUCCAACUGCAUCCAGUUGAAAACGUCAGUUAUUAAGGGCAUUAAGAGCCAACUGGUAGAGCAAUUUCCAGGUAUUGAACCAUGGCUUAAUCAAAUCAUGCCUAAGAAAGAUCCUGUCAAAAUAGUCCGAUGCCACGAACAUACAGAAAUCCUUACCAUAAGAAAACUGAAGCUCAGAGAGGGCACUGCCUUCCCCAAGGUCACCCAGCUACAAGUAACAAAGCCUGUGCUUCUAACACCAAAGACCACUUCCCGCUGACACUGUGCCAGGCUUGUAAGUCUCUCUCUGGGCCUCCAUUCCCUCCUGUAGGAAAUUGGAGGGGUUAGGGUGGCUCCAGUGAGCUUUUCCCUUCUGAAACUCAUACUAAUCUGGGGCAGCCAAGGCUUAGCCCCCCAGCCUGUGAACCUCUCACAGUGCCCACAGCCAUGCCCUCCUCCAUCCAGGGGCUGACAGGUGGGAGGGGUAGCCCCGCCCCGGGGAGUGGACUUACCUGGCCUCUCUGCUCAGA
rnacentral:sRNA from 1 species